AUUGAACGCUGGCGGCAGGCCUAACACAUGCAAGUCGAGCGGAUGAAGGGAGCUUGCUCCUGGAUUCAGCGGCGGACGGGUGAGUAAUGCCUAGGAAUCUGCCUGGUAGUGGGGGAUAACGUCCGGAAACGGGCGCUAAUACCGCAUACGUCCUGAGGGAGAAAGUGGGGGAUCUUCGGACCUCACGCUAUCAGAUGAGCCUAGGUCGGAUUAGCUAGUUGGUGGGGUAAAGGCCUACCAAGGCGACGAUCCGUAACUGGUCUGAGAGGAUGAUCAGUCACACUGGAACUGAGACACGGUCCAGACUCCUACGGGAGGCCGCAGUGGGGAAUAUUGGACAAAGGGCGAAAGCCUGAUCCAGCCAUGCCGCGUGUGUGAAGAAGGUCUUCGGAUUGUAAAGCACUUUAAGUUGGGAGGAAGGGCAGUAAGUUAAUACCUUGCUGUUUUGACGUUACCAACAGAAUAAGCACCGGCUAACUUCGUG
rnacentral:rRNA from 1 species